rnacentral:rRNA from 1 species
UACGUAGGGUGCGAGCGUUGUCCGGAAUUACUGGGCGUAAAGAGCUCGUAGGCGGUGUGUCGCGUCGGCCGUGAAAACCUGCAGCUUAACUGUGGGCUUGCGGUCGAUACGGGCAUCACUGGAGUUCGGCAGGGGAGACUGGAAUUCCUGGUGUAGCGGUGAAAUGCGCAGAUAUCAGGAGGAACACCGGUGGCGAAGGCGGGUCUCUGGGCCGAUGACUGACGUGAGGAGCGAAAGCGUGGGG